GGAGACGUCGCAUAGCCAGGUCGAGUGCGCCUUCCUGCUAAGAAGGUACAGGGGUAAAACUCUGUCGAGGGUUCAAAUCCCUCCGUCUCCGCCA
rnacentral:tRNA from 1 species